rnacentral:lncRNA from 1 species
GGGAAGAUCACUCUGUUCUUAGGCGAAGCACCAUCUGCCCCCAUUCUGUCAAGCCUGAAAUUCCAGGGAGCUUCACAUCUAAGAGCACCACAAUAUCCCUACAUCCAGGGCCCAUCCCAAUGUCAACACUGUCAUUUUACGUCUCCACGUCAUUCUCAGCCAAUACCUGGCAGCAGGGCAGUGUCUGCCUGCUCCAGUCUCUCCAAGCGUGUGGAUGAGUAAGCAACAGGCCUCCCCUUCAUUCCCACUUUGCAGGUGGCAAAAGUCUCAGGUCUAGGGGGACCCUGGGGAC